UAUUCAAUUUGGAAAUGUAACAAAUUAAAAAAAUGGGGAAAAUAGUUCUGGUCACAAGUAGGCUGGUGAACUUUUGACCAUGUAUGGGCUCUUGAAUAUACUACGUUCAUGUCAAUAUUUAUCAGUUCUACUCAGUCCUAAGGGUCCUUCAACAGAAGAUAGCAUUGGAGUAACAAGGUGAAAUAAAGCAAUCAAAGUUAAAACCACUAAAUAGUAUUUGAACAUUUCUUUCAGCUAACAAAUGCGUUCAAUAAAAAAUCAUUUGCAUAACAACCAAAAAUUUUGUUCAAAAUUUGAAAGAGAUAUAAAAUAACAGCCACAAGCCCUGAUUUUACAAUGCCACAUGUUGUAAUGGAGGGAGAUUUUCCCUCCAAGCACAAAAUUCAUCCCUUUCUCACUUAACACCCCUGCCAUUACAUUGCUAUCAUGUUGUAUUUUUAGUAUUCAAUUUGGAAA